UUUUUUUUUUUUUUUUUUUUUUUUUUUGAGAUGGAGUCUUGCUCUGUCACCUAGGCUGGAGUGCAGUGGCACCGUCUUAGCUCACUACAACCUCCACCUCCCAGGUUCAAGCAAUUCUCCUGCCUCAGCCUCCCAAGUAGCUGGGAUUAUAGGCAUCUGCCACCACACCUGGCUAAUUUCUGUAUUUUAAUAGAGAUGGGGUUUUUCCAUGUCGGCCAGGCUGGUCUCGAACUCCUGAUCUCAAGUGAUCUGUCUGCCUCAGCCUCCCAAAGUGUUAGGAUUAUAGGCAUUAGUCACCAUGCCUGGCCUCCAGGUAUAUUUCUGGGGACUUGGGAUAUAUGAGAGAAAAACACAGACAAAAAACUCUGACUUAAUGGGUUUAUGUUUGUACUAUUUUGUAAUAUUUUAUUCUGAUAUUUUGUGGACAGUUUUCCAAUUAAAAAUAUAUAUUUACAUAAUCAACCUUUUAAUAACUUCAUUAUUCCAUAACACACAGGUACAAAGUUACAGGUCAUCCAUAACACACGGAAAAAAAAAAAAAAAACUUUCCCAAGGAAAUAGCAAAUAAAAUUGCAAAUAUUUAGUAAGCAAGUAUUAAGUAGAAACAGCUAGAGAUGCUGAGAGGGAUGCUAAAAGGAUUAGGACAGUGCCCUAAUCUUCAAUAUAAGGAAAUAGAACUGGAGCGAGAGAACCUACAUGCAGAAACAGAAACAACAUCACGAAUGUCAUAUUACAACCAUAUUUUAAUAGGCCAUACUGGAGCACUAUUAAUAUCAAUGAAACUGUAAUAACAGCUAACCCUUAUUGAUGAUUUGGUAUAUGCCAGAUAUUCCGUUAAGAAGUUAUAUUAUCUCUGUUAACCAUCAAGCCACCAUAUAAGAAAUAUACCAUUAGUAUCCUCAUUUUACAGAUGUGGGAACUAAGGACAGAGAUAAAGUUAAUUGCACAAGUUCAUACAUCUAGUGGAUAGUAGAGUCGGCAAUUAACCCAAUAAAUUAUAUUUUAAAUCAUGUGUACUUUUUGCCAUUUAAGACAUAUUUUGCCCGUGGUUACGUGGACAGCCAUGGAAGAUAGUUUUUUAGUAUACACUGAAUGACAGAAAUUUCACCUGGGCGGCACUGUACUGUCCCGUGUGAUUUACAGAG
rnacentral:lncRNA from 1 species